AGAAAUUGUUUGAAAUAUAUAUCCUCCAGAAUGCUUAGGUUGGUAAGCCUUCAGUUAUUUAUUUCUGUUGGGUAUUUUGUUUUUUGUUUUUAUUUUGGUGUUCUGGGGAUUAAAAAAACCAGGGGCACUCUACCACUGCGCUACAUUCCCAGCCUUUUUCUUCUUCUUUUUUGAGGAAUAAGAUCUUGCUAAAUGACGCAGCCUGGCCUUGAACUAUUAAUAUUAAUGCCCCUGCCUCUGCCUCCCAACUAGUAUUUCUACAUUUUUGAAGUAUGAUUUAAGGUUUCAUUCUAGAAUUCUAAAUGUCUUAACAUUUUCCUUCGAAUCUUUUUUGUUUCUUUCACAUUUUUUUUAUUAGUGCCUAUUAAUGAGUUGCAUUUUCGCAAAUUGGUGCAUGCUCAGAAUAUACUUUGAUCAUUUUUACCCUACCAUUAUCCCCUCUGCCUGGCCUCUCUAGUUUAAUUUUUUCCUUAGGGGGUUUAUUGCCUAUAAUAUAUUUUGAUCAUAUUCAUCUUCCUAUUACCACCCCAUAUAACCACUUCCCCUCUCCCAGUAUUCCCUUCAUCUUGUCUCAUAAUAGUCUCCCUCCUGCUCUCUUGUCAUCUUUUUCAGAUUCCACAUAUGUACUAGGGAUCCCCCUUUUUUUUUUUUUAAAUGUUAGGAUCAAACCCAGGGCCUUGCACAUGAUAGGUAGCUCAGUGGUUCUACCACCUGCCUUGCAAGCCCAGGGACUGGAGUUCAAUCCCCUGUACCAAAAAAUAAAUUGCAAGUUAUAUACUAUAACAAUGAUAUCUUCAAGAUUUUAGUAAAAAGUGAUAUUUGCUGUUCCAGGCUUAAUACUUAAUUUAUAAAAUUUCUUCAGUGUGACUAUUUUGUAGUUCAUUAUACAUAGGAUAGCCAUAACUUAGCAGGACUGUUUGAGAGUGAAAGCAGGCAUUGCUAACAGUGAUACCAAGACAGUGGACAUAGACCACUGAGUUGAUUGCAGUGGUCUAACUUGUAACCCCAGCUCUUUGGGAGGCUGAGGCAUGAAGAUUACAAGUUUGAGCCCAGCCUGGGCAACUAAGUGAGACCCUGUCUCAAAAGAGGCUGGGGGAGGUAGUUCAGCCAUAAACCAUCCCUGGAUUCAAUCCCUAGUACCACAAAAAAUAAACAAACCAAGAUUGUCCCAGGCAAAUCAAGCAAGUCAUCCUAAUUAUAUAAGACUGAUUUUAAAUGACUACUUUAACAUAGGAUGACU
rnacentral:lncRNA from 1 species